rfam:Operophtera brumata OBRT01_Sc06214, whole genome shotgun sequence.
CAAGACCGCGGCCACGGCGAGUAGCAUCGAGGGUACAGUCUAG